rnacentral:rRNA from 1 species
CUACGGGCGGCUGCAGUGGGGAAUAUUGCGCAAUGGGGGAAACCCUGACGCAGUGACGCCACGUGAGUGAUGAAGGUCUUCGGAUCGUAAAGCUCUGUCAGAUGGGAAGAAUAAAAGCAGUGAAAAUAUUGCUGUUUGAUGACGGUACCAUCAGAGGAAGCACCGGCUAACUCCGUGCCAGCAGCCGCGGUAAUACGGAGGGUGCAAGCGUUGUACGGAAUUACUGGGCGUAAAGCGCGUGUAGGCGGGUAAGUAGGUCAGAUGUGAAAUCCCUUGGCUCAACCGAGGACGUGCAUCUGAAACCGCUUGUCUUGAGUGCGACAGAGGGGAGUGGAAUUCCCAGUGUAGAGGUGAAAUUCAUAGAUAUUGGGAAGAACACCAGUGGCGAAGGCGACUCUCUGGGUCGCAACUGACGCUGAGACGCGAAAGCGUGGGGAGCAAACAGGAUUAGAUACCCGCGUAGUC